UACGAAGGGGGCUAGCGUUGUUCGGAAUUACUGGGCGUAAAGGGCUCGUAGGCGGAUAUUUAAGUUAGAGGUGAAAGCCCAGGGCUCAACCCUGGAAUAGCCUUUAAUACUGGAUAUCUUGAGUUCGGGAGAGGUGAGUGGAACUCCGAGUGUAGAGGUGAAAUUCGUAGAUAUUCGGAAGAACACCAGUGGCGAAGGCGACUCACUGGCCCGAUACUGACGCUGAGGCGCGAAAGCGUGGGGAGCAAACAGG
rnacentral:rRNA from 1 species